AACGUAGGUGGCGAGCGUUAUCCGGAAUUACUGGGCGUAAAGCGUGUGCAGGCGGGCUAGCAAGUGGGGUAUGAAAGCUCCCGGCUCAACCGGGAAGGGUUAUGCCAGACUGCUAGUCUUGAGUGCGAGAGAGGAGAAUGGAAUUCCCGGUGUAGCGGUGAAAUGCGCAGAUAUCGGGAAGAACACCCGUGGCGAAGGCGGUUCUCUGGGACGGUACUGACGCUGAGACGCGAAAGCGUGGGUAGCAAACAGG
rnacentral:rRNA from 1 species